GAUGAACGCUCGCGGCAGGCCUAACACAUGCAAGUCGAGGGAUAAGCCUUCGGGCUCUGCCCGGCGCACGGGUGCGUAACGCGUAUACAAUCUGCCUUUUAUCCGGGGGAUAGCCCGAAGAAAUUUGGAUUAAUACCCUUUGGUCUAACAGCACGGCAUCGUGCACUUAUUAACGCUACGGCGGUCAAAGAUGAGUAUGCGUUCUAUUGGCUAGUUGGUGAGGUAACGGCUGGCCAAGGCGACGAUAGAUAGGGGUUCUGAGUGGGAUGUCCCCCAGACUUGUACUGAGAUACGGACCAGACUCCUACGGGAGGCAGCAGUGAGGAAUAUUGGACAAUGGUCGGUAGACUGAUCCAGCCAUGCCGCGCGAAGGAUGACGGCCUUAGGGGUGGUAAACUGCUUUUGUAAGGGAAGAAUAAGGAGUACGUGUACUUUGAUGACGGUACCUUACGAAUAAGCAUCGGCUAACUCCGUG
rnacentral:rRNA from 1 species